ACUUCCGUUUCCACCCUUUCCCUGCACACUGUUCCAUUCUACUUAGCCUACAGACGCUAGGUCGUUUCGGGAAAAAGGACAGUUACCCACCUCGGAAGAUCAAGACAGUUGGAAAGGGCUAUUGAUAUUGUGGAAGCGUUUUCUCACAGAUGUUGCUUAUCAGACAAAGGCUAUUUAACUACAUCAGAAAGAUAAAAACAGUUGGAAAUGGCUAUUCAUAUUGUGGAAACUUUUCUCACAGAGCUUGAUAAUCAGGCAAAUUG